rnacentral:rRNA from 1 species
GACGAACGCUGGCGGCGUGCUUAACACAUGCAAGUCGAACGAUGAAGCCGGAGCUUGCUCUGGUGAAUUAGUGGCGAACGGGUGAGUAACACGUGAGUAACCUGCCCUUGACUCUGGGAUAACUGCGGGAAACUGUAGCUAAUACCGGAUACGACCCUCGGAGGCAUCUCCUGGGGGUGGAAAGAAUUUCGGUCAAGGAUGGACUCGCGGCCUAUCAGCUAGUUGGUGAGGUAACGGCUCACCAAGGCGACGACGGGUAGCCGGCCUGAGAGGGUGACCGGCCACACUGGGACUGAGACACGGCCCAGACUCCUACGGGAGGCAGCAGUGGGGAAUAUUGCGCAAUGGGCGAAAGCCUGACGCAGCAACGCCGCGUGCGGGAUGACGGCCUUCGGGUUGUAAACCGCUUUCAGCAGGGAAGAAGCCGCAAGGUGACGGUACCUGCAGAAGAAGCACCGGCUAACUACGUGCCAGCAGCCGCCGUAA